CCCUUCCAAUCAUUUGCGGACUGUCUACAUGCGACUUUGGUCUAUGAGUGAUAUAAGUGAUAUUUGCAGUGAUAUUGCAGCACAUUUCAGAUUGCCUGUAGAAAUUUGCUACGCCCGUCCCCCGACUGACACUAUGCAAGGGAACCAGACAAUGGAAACUGAUCUUUGGCUACGUGACUUUUCAAACAGUGACCUCCCCUCACCGUCCUUUGGAUUCACUUUUACAAAAGCAAUGUAGCUCUGCGAUCCUUGGGCCCUGGAUACUGAUGUCCACAUCUCCAUGCCCAAAGCUCGUCCUGCCUGAACAAACAAGAACAAAGAAGAGAUAUUUGACUACCAUUGUAAUAAAAUUUAAAUUGC